rnacentral:tRNA from 1 species
GCAAUGGUAGCUCAGUGGUAGAAUUCUUCUCUUACAUGCAUGAGACCUGGGUUUGAUUCUUAGCCAGUGCA